rnacentral:pre_miRNA from 1 species
UGGAGCAGCCAGCCCCAUCUGGAAGACUAGUGAUUUUGUUGUUGUCUCCUGCGCUCAACAACAAGUCCCAGUCUGCCGCAUGGUGCUGGCCACC